GUAAAAUUUUUUCUGAGGAUUGGUUUGUUUGUGCCCCUGCACACUGUAAGUUGACUUCCAUCCACUAUGUUGAGUUAUCUCGCUGCCACGUCUGUCCUCUGAUACAAGCUCACUCUCUCCUCCCAGAAGAGAAACUUGCCAUCCAUUGGCUGGGAUCAGGAACAGUAUGAUCUUUAACGUGCAGAGCUUUGUUAUAUUUUCCAUUUCUGCAUGUGCUAAAUAGAUGACAGAGCAUUUCCAGUUUUAGCCAACUUCCCAAAGUACUUGUGAUUGCAUUUCACAGUGCAACGAGGUUUCUGCUUCUCUGUUUUCCCACUAUCAUGCUGGUAUAGGUGCAUCUGCAUUCGCUAGCACUGUUGAGCCAGCUCCCAGGGCAUCACGUUCUUCUAUUCCCUGAGGCUUUGGAGAAGAUGGACUUAUCUCUGGAAAUGCAGAAGUCCGGCCAUGCUCUGCAAAAUGCUGAACCUUCCCAAUUUCACAGUAUUUAUCUAUUUACCCUUUUUGAGUUAACAGCACUUCCUAUUUGCACAUAACUUCAAAUUAAGAUCUCAACAAAGUCCAGCACCAAACACAACAGGUACUCCAUGGAAUAUAGAGGAAUCAAAAUGAUUUGCCCAAAGGGAGCAUGUGAAACCACACACAUGUCUCUGCACUGGACAACACCUAAAUAUUAACGAAUUAUCAAUCAUUACCAUUGCUUCAUUACCAUUUCCUUGGUUAUUUUAACAGUGUUCUAGAAAUAUAUUUCAAUUCUAAAAAAAUUCAUAUUUCAGAGCCAACAUGUUCUCAUUUGUGUAGAAAAUCAGACCAAAUGGAGAUGUAUCAGGACAGGGCUGUUUGGAAUAAGUGUUAAUGACAAGGCAGUUGCCAAAAUCAAUAUAUCCUCGACAUGCAUUAAUAAUGCAUUCAAGAAAAUAGGGUUUUCCUCUGUAGACAAUGGAAUUAUAUCAAAGACCUACCUGGCUUCAUUAUCAGUUUCUUUUCUGACCAAACAAAAAUCUGAAUUUUUUUCAAACAACAAGGAAAAGAACUGAGUCGCAAUUUUCUGUACAUCACUUACAGAUAGCCUCAGAUCAGUGUUCAGCUUAUUUAAUUAUAAUACAGUUGAGAUGUACCAGGGAAUUUGUAUCCGGUUUACAUGGUGAUUAAUGUUAUAAACUGGGGCAAAUAGAGGACCCACUUGUUUACUCUGAGGUUUUCAAGGUUAUCAAGAGAGAUGAGAAUAAACCACUGUGGCAUGAACAAGUGAAGUGAGAAGUUAAUCUAGCUGGCUUUUAUCUGUUUCUGUAUUGACUUACUGACAUAAUCAAGGGAUAAAUACUCUCUUUGUAGUGCAAAAAUAUUAAUAAUAAAGAUAAAAUUGUGAUUUUAGUGAGACCUGAGAAGAACCAAUAAAAAGGUUUAGAAUUACUAAAUUCUAAGCAUGAAAAAAAAAAAAAUAUCAGCAAUGAGAAAUAUGGGGGCAAGAAGCAUCUUUUCUGUUAGCUUACCAGGAAAUGCCUAAAGAGUUUUACCCCUGUAAAACUGUGAGCUCAUAUUGUGCUAUUUGUUCACUGUGCCCCCAGUUCUCUUUGUUGCUCUUAGGAUGUAAUACCCCACCUUGUACUUUCCUGUAUUAAAGUGCAUUUGUUUCAAUGGGUCUAGUUUGCUAAUCCAGCUAUUUUGUGUAGCUCCUCUUCCUCAUCCAUACUUAGUUUUCCCAGUUUCUUGGGAUCUUUGGUUUGUACCAAAAAAUGUUAAGUAAUGACUUAAUAUUUUCUUCCUGAACAGAGAUGAAAAGAAAAUGUGGAAUGAGAUCAAAUCAGGCACUGAUCUCUGCAGAAAAUAACUAGAGAAUUCGUGUGGUAAAGACUUCUUAUGGCCAAUGUAUUAGUAAUUGUGCCAGGGUAUCAGUUCUUAGUUUAAUGGGCAUGGGGUUUUUUGCUAGC